rnacentral:rRNA from 1 species
UACGUAGGGGGCAAGCGUUGUCCGGAAUCAUUGGGCGUAAAGCGCGUGUAGGCGGUUCGGUAAGUCUGCUGUGAAAGUCCAGGGCUCAACCCUGGGAUGCCGGUGGAUACUGUCGGGCUAGAGUACGGAAGAGGCGAGUGGAAUUCCCGGUGUAGCGGUGAAAUGCGCAGAUAUCGGGAGGAACACCAAUGGCGAAGGCAGCUCGCUGGAACGGAACUGACGCUGAGGCGCGAAAGCGUGGGGAGCGAACAGG